rnacentral:rRNA from 1 species
CCCUGGCCUUGACAUACUAAGAACUUUCCAGAGAUGGAUUGGUGCCUUCGGGAACUUAGAUACAGGUGCUGCAUGGCUGUCGUCAGCUCGUGUCGUGAGAUGUUGGGUUAAGUCCGCAACGAGCGCAACCCUUUUCCUUAUUUGCCAGCGGGUAAUGCCGGGAACUUUAAGGAUACUGCCAGUGACAAACUGGAGGAAGGCGGGGACCGACGUCAAGUCAUCAUGGCCCUUACGGCCAGGGCUACACACGUGCUACAAUGGUCGGUACAAAGGGUUGCUACCUCGCGAGAGGAUGCUAAUCUCAAAAAGCCGAUCGUAGUCCGGAUCGCAGUCUGCAACUCGACUGCGUGAAGUCGGAAUCGCUAGUAAUCGCGGAUCAGAAUGCCGCGGUGAAUACGUUCCCGGGCCUUGUACACACCGCCCGUCACACCAUGGGAGUUUGUUGCACCAGAAGUAGGUAGUCUAACCGCAAGGAGGACGCUUACCACGGUGUGGCCGAUGACUGGGGUGAAGUCGUAACAAGGUAAGCGUAGAUGA